rnacentral:lncRNA from 1 species
CUUUCUACCAUGAAAAUCUCAGGACAAGAGAGGUCAGCUCCUUGUUUUUCCUCUCCGCGGUAUGGGGUUUCUCAGAGAUUUUUGGUGGUGGCUAAUUGAUCAUGGUGUCCCUAGGAAUGAAACAGCCGGGCAGUCUGCUGGAGUAUUGCUUGAUCUGCAACAUCGAAAAACUCUAGUUCUGGUGGCCAAACCCUGAUUUAAGUUGCCACGAUGGAGAGAAGGACCACUCACCAGGUUUUCUGGCCUAAGCCAAUUCACAGACUCAGAGCCUCUUGAGCAAGGACUCUUCAUUACGGUUUCAAAUUCUGGGGGCUGGCCCCGUGGCCGAGUGGUUAAGUUCGUGCGCUCCACUGCAGGCGGCCCAGUGUUUCGUUGGUUCGAAUCCUGGGCGCGGACAUGGCACUGCUCAUCAAACCACGCUGAGGCAGCGUCCCACAUGCCACAACUAGAAGGACCCACAACGAAGAAUAUACAACUAUGUACUGGGGGGCUUUGGGGAGAAAAAGGAAAAAAAUAAAAUCUUUAAAAAAAAAUUCAGAUUCUGUUGUGG